UCCAAGGCACCGUGUCCCUCCUCUCUCACUGUCUGGGGAAGGGGAAGAACGUCUCCCUCAUCCUGAAGGGUGCUGGGGUGCUCCUCAUAGAGGGCAGCAAGGUGCAAAUGAAGUUCUACUAUGACUUCCUGGACAGGAUGUCUGGGAAGGAGAACUUGGAGAAAGCUGUUUCCCAGGUCCCCCAGCUGCUGAACAUGACUGUGUCCCCGGUGGUGCCCGUGGCCUCACUGACUUUCUCUGGCCAUGUCAUCAUCUUUCCCGAGUUUGAAAUGGAGGUUGUGUCCAAACCACCACCCAGGCCUC